GAGUUUGAUCGUGGCUCAGAUUGAACGCUGGCGGCAUGCCUUACACAUGCAAGUCGAACGGCAGCAUGAUCUAGCUUGCUAGAUUGAUGGCGAGUGGCGAACGGGUGAGUAAUACAUCGGAACGUGCCCUGUAGUGGGGGAUAACUAGUCGAAAGAUUAGCUAAUACCGCAUACGACCUGAGGGUGAAAGUGGGGGACCGCAAGGCCUCAUGCUAUAGGAGCGGCCGAUGUCUGAUUAGCUAGUUGGUGGGGUAAAGGCCCACCAAGGCGACGAUCAGUAGCUGGUCUGAGAGGACGAUCAGCCACACUGGGACUGAGACACGGCCCAGACUCCUACGGGAGGCAGCAGUGGGGAAUUUUGGACAAUGGGGGCAACCCUGAUCCAGCAAUGCCGCGUGUGUGAAGAAGGCCU
rnacentral:rRNA from 1 species